AUAGAACCCUGUGAGUUCAAUUCAGGGAAAAUGGAACCUUUUCCAGCGAAAGGUGCUAUUUUAGGCACGUGAAGAUUUAUUUGAUUUCCAACGAACCUUUCCAAUGGCAGCCAUUCACUUCAAGCGUUCAUUGGUAAGUGACUACGAUUUUUGUCCUUCCGUGUAUUUUCUUUAUAACACCAAUGAAAAAUACCUUCAGUGGUGCUUUCCCUUUGAUAACGUGAAGUGGUGUGUUUGUUUGAGCGUCAAGGGGUGUGUCGUGUGUGUAAAUGUUGUAGUCAUUGGUUUUGAACGUCAAGGGGCGUUAACUUUGUCAACGUCAGCUCCGCAGAUGUUAGCUAGCGGAUAUAUAACUUUUGUUCACUGGCAUUAAAAAGGCUACAGAUGUCAACAUUACUGGAUACAACAGGGAGUAUCAUACAUAUUUGUUUUCGUUGUGUGUAUGAGCGUUUAUGAGGGCCAAGAUGCCACAUAUAUUUAAAUCCAUGUAAUUUCCAUAGUGUAAUGGAAUGUACAGAUACACUUUAUUGUUCUGCCACUGCCUGAUGUCUAAAGUGCUGCUAUAUGAGACCUGCUCCAUCAGUCAGUGAAAGUGAAUGUAGCCUUUGAAAGUGAAUGCACAAAAGUACCAAGAGAAUUGUGUGUAAUUGGCAAUGUCAGGAUGUCAGUUCGAAAACAGGUGGUGACAAAACAACAAAAUGCUGUCUAUAAAUACUGCACCUUGAAAUUAUUAUUUAUUUAUUUAACACCUACAUUGCAGUGAUUUAAAGUGAGUACUUUUUUGACACCCUGUAGUGCUGUGAAGUACAUUCAGAAUUUUGAGCACUUUCACAAUUUUGUGGUGUGUGUGUGUAUUCUUUCUAGGUCCCCGCAUCGGAUGUCCCAAUGCGGGGUCCACCCAUGAGGUCUGUCUGUGGCUGGAGCAGAAUUCUUUAAGCGAGGCUAAACAGAUCUUCUUUGAACAACAGAUUGAUGGGGAAACACUACUGGGACUAACAGAGCGGAUGGUAGAAAAACUGUUUCCCAUCAUGAAACACCAGGUCUUGUUUUUGAAAGAGUUGGAGAAGUUGUGCAGCACAUCAUCAGCACAAAAAUCCAAUCCAACAUGUGACACACUACCUGUAGAGUCAAAUACUCAUCAACAAGCUCAUGUGUCAUGGCCAGCACUGUAUACCCUGCCUGUUAUGCCACCAGAGCUAUAGGAAGCUCUACACAGAAAAGAUCCAUCUUUCAAAAAAAGGAUAAAUCACACUUGAGAGCAUUGUUAAUACAAGUUCUAUUUGACCACAUAACAACGUACACAUGGUACCCUAACCAUAAAAAAUACACCGAUGUUCUCGGAUGUCUGAUCACCAGAUUUCCCUUUUUGAGAGACCACAGCAGCACUGGAUAUGAUACCUUGCUGGAGUGCUUAAGGAACAAGUUUAAAAAGGAAAGGUCUCCCUUGGUGAACUUCCCAAAGGUUAUGAAGAGGAAGUUUGGGACAAAGCAACAGCGAAGUGUAGACCAUGAGUCUCUGGAGGACUCACCUGCAUAUCCGAGGGCAAAGAGACACAGGACAGAAGCAAUCCAGGCAUGUUGGGGGAGCUUGGAUCCAACACAAGAGAUUGUAGUGGAACUUGAGUGUUGGGGAGGAUGACCUGAGUUUUCAGGAACAUCUAAAUGCGAUUAAUAAUGAGCUACGCCGGCGACAGCCAGAUCUAACACAAAUCAUGGAUAGGAUGAAGCGCACUCUUUAUAAAAGGGUUAAAGUCACGGCCAAGCCAACAAGCGAAGUCAUGCAGAUGUUCCCCUUUUUUCAGAUUCCCGAACUGUUGCAUUACGAAAUGAGGCUGCGGUUCGGUCAGGACAUGGAGCUAAAUCUCCAGAAUGCCCUCACGACAAUCACGCCAAACAUCAUCAGGGCGGCUCAGCAGGGGAACCACAAGGAACAACUGACCACCUGGCUGACAGAGGCCACCACAGAUGAUCAUCUGAAGAGUGCUGCCAUCCUCAUCCUGCCAGAGCUCUUCAAAGAAAGAUCAAAGUUUUUCUACUGCUUGGAUGAGGAGCCAUGCAGCCCGUUUCCAGUCAUGGUCAUCGACAAUGCUGUGAAUCCCCUCCUAUGCUCCAACAACGUCUCGAUCAAGAUGGAUGGAGUCACUGUCACAAGUGGGGAGAUGGACAUCCCUCAUGCACUCCAAUGUCUUUUGGAAAUUUAUUUUAUUUUUGGUGUGGAGUACCCAAAGCAAAUCCGACACACCUUGAGUUUUGUGGAGCAUUAUUUUUUUUUAAAUUCAAAAUACCCCAGUUUCUAUUCCUGUCCUCAAACUGUAUAACCAAAUUUGUUCAUGAUUAUUUUUAAUUUGCAUGAUUUUACGUCUUCACAAUAAAUAUGAAGACCUUA